CGCAGAUGUUUGGCAUUGGGGAUGAUUGGCCUGAUCCAAGACCCAAGUUUGGAUGUUAUUAUGAUAAUGAGCUGACGUGUAACUGUCCUUUCAGUACCUGGCAAAGCCUCUCAGUCAGAUUAGAGCAGGCAGAAGUUCAGAGAGGAGGGAGAGGAGUGAGGAAGGAGCGGCCCGCUCAGCUCUUCUACAACCAUGUGAGGAAGCUCUCCUUCUCCAGCUUGGUAGCUGCCAGCACGGACUCCAUGUCGCUGAGGAUGUCGGAGCUCAGCGCCUCCUGCAGGCUGGGCAUCAGCUCCUCGCCUUCCACCGCCAUGCUCUCCCCCUCCAGGGUGCCCAGAUCCACGUCUGUUCCCGGAAUGGCAUCCAGGUAGUCGGGGAAACGACUGGGCUGCGUUGCCAUGGGUGCGAGCGGGUCCCCUGAUGGACAGAGGGCAUAAAUGUCGGGUCAACAAUUCAGCUCUGACGUUUACAUGAAAUGUGAGUUUUAGCCUCACCUGUGUCCAUCUCAUCCACACUGUUCAGGAAGUCGUCCGGAGUGCGAGGGACACUGUAGCUGCUCAUGCUCAAGCCGCUGUCUGUGCUCUCAUCCCUGGAGUGGUAGGUCCCGCUGGAAACGCACAAAUGAAGAAGUGUUACCAAUAAACACCACAACUUUCAUCAA